rnacentral:rRNA from 1 species
AAUGAGGUAGGGUACUGGCAACAGUGCUCUGCUGAAAUAUUUUCACCCAUGUCUUUUGCGCACUUUUUGUUUCCUGGGCGAGUUUGCUCGCCACCAGGACCCCCAUAUGAACCUUUUUUGUUUUUGCACUCAGCGUCAGUACAAUAAUUUAAUCUAUUAAAACUUUCAACAACGGAUCUCUUGGUUCUGGCAUCGAUGAAGAACGCAGCGAAAUGCGAUACGUAGUGUGAAUUGCAGAAUUCAGUGAAUCAUCGAAUCUUUGAACGCACAUUGCGCCCUUUGGUAUUCCAAAGGGCAUGCCUGUUCGAGCGUCAUUUGUACCCUCAAGCUUUGCUUGGUGUUGGGCGUCUUAUUGUCUCUCCGUCUCGGGGAGACUCGCCUUAAAACAAUUGGCAGCCGGCCUACUGGUUUCGGAGCGCAGCACAAAUUUGCGCUUGCAAUCAGCCAAGGGCGGCAUCCAUGAAGCCUUUUUUCUCUCACAUUUUGACCUCGGAUCAGGUAGGGAUACCCGCUGAACUUAAGCAUAUCAAUAGCCCGGAGGAAAAUAUGGGUCCCUUCUU